GCGGAUGGCCGGAUGACCGCGGGUGCCCUUCGGGGCGCACGAGGAAAGUCCGGACUCCAUGAGGCAACGGUGCCGGGUAACGCCCGGCCGGGGCAACCCGAGGGAAAGCGCCACAGAGAAGAGACCGCCUGUCCACGGGCAGGCAAGGGUGAAACGGUGGGGCAAGAGCCCACCGCGGACCUGGCAACAGGGACGGCACGGCAAGCCCCACCGGGAGCAAUGCCAAAUAGGGGCCUCGCGCGGGCUGAUCGGGGCGGCAACGCCCGCGAUAUCGCCGCAGGGACGCUUCAGCCCGAGAGGCCCGGGUUGGCAGCUUGAUCCCGCCGGUAACGGCGGGGCGAGAGGAAUGGUCAUCCAGGGAGCAGCGGCGCAAGCCGGGGCCCCCGGACAGAAUCCGGCUUACAGGCCAUCCGCGCAU
rnacentral:RNase_P_RNA from 1 species